GAGAUUGAGAAACCCUGCAUUUCCUUCCCGCCACUCCCACCGAGAAGGAGCAUCUAUUCAUCAUAAAAUCACACAGGUUUUCGGAACCGCCGCCGGAAACGUGUUGCAGGUGAUCGAUGUAGAGAAGAAGACUCUCAACAACGUCAUCACGUUUCCUCUCGACGGAGUCUUCUUCGUUCGGUCCGAUAUUCAGUGCAGUUCUGUGGCAUAAGGGUUGGGAGUUUCCUCUACCUCCACUUGAUUAGGGUCGUAUGCUUCCAUCCAUGGUGUGAUAUCUUUAUUGAUUCCUUGAAAAGUAUAAACCUGUCAGGCAGUAGCUCUAUAAUUCUAGGUCUUAAAAACUUAAGACAGUUAUAGCGAUGGACAAGCAAGGUAGCACUUGAUCACAUUCCAUUCAAGGUGCUGCAGCUCCAACGUUUUCGCCGUCGACCGGUGAGGAAGAGGCCUACCAUUCAAACUGGCUCUGAAUAGGCCCGGCCUGACGGCCGCGGCCUCCACCAAUGUCGCCCUGCAUGUUGCUUGCUUCAUUUAGUUGGCUUCCUCUUCAUCAUGUAUGGCUGGGACUAGGGAUGUUGUAGCGCUACCGUUCGAGAUGCAUAGGCUUGGAUUCUAGGUCUUGACCCGGGCUCAGUGCUCGUCCACGUCCCCGAGAUCAUGCUUUGUAUUCAAAUUCAUAAAUUUUUUGCAUUUCAAAU